UGACGGACGUAAGUGUAGUGCA
rnacentral:siRNA from 1 species